CUGACCUCGGAUCAGACGUGAAUACCCGCUGAACUUAACAUAUCACUAA
rnacentral:rRNA from 1 species